AAGAAAAACAAAAUCUGGUUUCCAUGUCCAACGUUGACUAUCUGUCUUAUAUAAAAAAUUUUAUAAUUAAUAUUUUCAUUAUUGUUAGAUGAUAAAACAUGAUUAAUAUUUUAUGCGUGACUUGUAUUUUUAAUUUUUUUAAUAAUUUUUUUAACAAUUUUUUCAAAUAAGACGGACGGUUAAACGUUGAACACGGAAUUCUAAGGUU
rnacentral:pre_miRNA from 1 species